rnacentral:rRNA from 1 species
UACGGGAGGCAGCAGUGGGGAAUAUUGCACAAUGGGCGCAAGCCUGAUGCAGCCAUGCCGCGUGUAUGAAGAAGGCCUUCGGGUUGUAAAGUACUUUUCAGUCGUGAGGAAGGUGUUAAGGUUAAUAACCUUAGCAAUUGACGUUAGCGACAGAAGAAGCACCGGCUAACUCCGUGCCAGCAGCCGCGGUAAUACGGAGGGUGCGAGCGUUAAUCGGAAUUACUGGGCGUAAAGGGCACGCAGGCGGUUAAUUAAGUUGGAUGUGAAAUCCCCGGGCUUAACCUGGGAAUGGCAUUCAAGACUGGUUAGCUAGAGUCUUGUAGAGGGGGUAGAAUUCCAUGUGUAGCGGUGAAAUGCGUAGAGAUGUGGAGGAAUACCGGUGGCGAAGGCGGCCCCUGGACAAAGGACUGACGCUCAUGUGCGAAAGCGUGGGGAGCAAACG